AAUAUCAAAACUACCCUACUCUCUUCUAAUUCUUCCAUGUGGAUGCCUUAUCCAUCAUCCCUUCCUUUUGUUUCUGUUUUUGUUUUCAUUUUUCCUAUCACACUUCAUCUCAUUUAAUGUAUUGUUGCUGCUUUCAAAUCAAGAAAUAUCUACUUAGGACUGAUACUUUUUACUUUCACCAUAUCACUUUUAUUUUGCUUUCUCCCUUAUCAUUUAUGUUGUUCUUCUCUAAUAACACAUUGUUGUUCUGCCACACCAUUUUCUUCUUCUGAUUUUUUAUCCCUUCAACUGAAAUUGUCUCCGUCUUUUCUACAUGGUCAAACCGCUGGAGAAGAUUUGCGACCUGAACGACACUAAAGACUUGUGGAAGGUCACAUUGAGGGUACACCAUAAAUGGUUGGUUCUUUCCAACAACAAAGAACACUUUGAAAUGAUCUUCAUAGACAAAGAUGGGGCUGAUACACACGUCGUUGUUCCAGCAGCAUAUAUGGCCGCAUUCAGUGACAAGUUCACGGUAGACCACACUUACACCGUUUCAAACCUUAACGUUCAAACAAAUGAGUUGGUCUUUAAACCUUCGACCCACAAGUAUAUGGUCAAGUUUACUGGAGGGACAUCCUUUAAUGAUGUUAACAAACAUGUCAUACCGCCCAAACCACAUAAAUUGACCAGUUUUGUUGAUAUCAUGACCGACUAAUUUUAGAAAGAUGUACUCAUAGAUAGUAUUGGUUUCGCAUAGGUACAAUCAGAGGAAAAAACAACAAGUCAAUUUUAUACUGAAUGACCAUAGCAACAACACCAUCAACAUUACUCUUUGGGAGGCGUAUGCCUCCCAGUUCAUCAAGUUCGACCAGGAUCGAGUCAAUACAUCUGGUCCAAAUGUCGUUUUGCUUCAGUACGCAAAAGUGAAAGAAGAGGGAAAAUAUCCACUGUCUAUUACAAACAUGUACAACAUAAUUAAGUUGUACAUCAAUGUUGAUUUGCCUUCAAUCAAACAGUUUAUUGACAGGCCAACUAAAUUCUCAUUCUCAAUACUACUCACAAAAUUCUGAAAUUUCUCAACAAACUCCUGUUCAAAAGUUACUCUCAAAGGCCAUUGUGUUUCCUCUUAUUGACAUUACAAAACUUAGUGAGGUUGGUACUAUCAGGCUUGACAUUCAUUCCCAAAGGUUGCUCGCGGUUCCAAAGCUCCAUUCUUGUGUGAAGAUGAGGCGGAAAUCUUUAGGCUGGAAUUGAUGAUCUCUUAGAAUUCUCAUUAGCAUUCGAUGUUAUGUUGGGUUUAGAGCUUGAUUUUAAAGUUAAGUGGCAACCCCGGUGGGACAGUUGCUCUAUUGUCAUGAUCCUGAGAGAUGAGUCGUUCAUGAAAUAGCUAAAGGCUCCAUGGGAACAAAUCCAGAUAUUUUUUUAUUAUUCCUAUGAAUAUUGGGUGAUUUUGUAUCUUGACAAUUCUGUUGACCCUUCUGACGCCAAGGUAACAACAUCUCAACCACCUAUAACACCACAUCUGUUGUAGGUAUUGUUGUCAUUUAUCUAUGUUGUUAGUCCUGAUUUAUUUUAUAUGUUUUUCAUGUUUAAAUAGAUUACAUACUGCAAUUUAUUUUUAUGUUGUUAAUAUUAAAGAGAGUGUUGAUGAGGCCAAAUCUAAUCUUGUUG